UAAGGGCACGUUUGGUUCGCUGUAUUGGAUUAGAGGCGUAUUGGAUUAGAGGUGUAUUGGGAUUAGAGGUGUAUUGGAUUAGAGGUGUAAUAGCUAAUCCACUGUUUGGUUGAAUGUAAUGGAAUAGAGGCGUAAUAGUAAUCUUGUGUUUGGUUGAAUGGAAUAGAGGUGUAAUAGCAUAAUAGAAAAAACUAAAAUGACUAGAAUACCCUUAGCAUAAAUUUGUUUUGGU
rnacentral:lncRNA from 1 species